rnacentral:lncRNA from 1 species
UUGGGACACAAUGUUGUCAGGGGAGCUGUGUGCCUCUCCUUAUUUUUUGUGCAGUUGAGAUCUCUGCUGGACACACUAGAUAUUGAAAUCUUUGUUGAUUCUCUUGGUUCUGGUUUGGCUGACCUGUCAGCUGGAGCUGGAGGACAUGCCUGGAAGGGGAGUGACCCCAUGGCAAAGACCAGGGCUCCGCACAGUGAAAGCAGCUGGGACCCAGAGAAGCCAGUGAGGUCUGACUCUUAAAAGCCAAAGACCAGCAGGUGGUGUCCUCAGGGGCAAGUGGACUGCACUGGUACCCAUUCAAGUGGACUGGAAAAAGGUAAGAGGCUUUGGACACUCCAUUUUCUCUCUCAGCUCUUCAGCAGGAGAUUUAGGCCCUGGGCUGGUACUGUCCUGCAGCAGGGGCAGGGUGGACAGCAAUGGCUGCAUAUCAGGCCUAAGUCCAUGUCAUCCUCUCAGGCAUUGCCCCAGAAGACGGAGAAUUUUGUUCAGAAUCCCAGCCUGGGCACAUGGGAGGAACCACCUUAUUAAAAUUAAUUUAAGAAAACAGCAUGCGUGCUUUAUUCUUCUAGAAUAAUUAUUAAUGUCAUGUUUUACAAUGUAUCUCUUAAAGGAAUGGUGAGAAUCAUCUACAUAAUGCAUGUUUUACGUGGUCUUUUCUAUAAUUGCAGCUUUCACAUGUUCUUAUAGAAUCCAUUUCCUUUGGGAACACACAGGCAGUAUCUCUGUGUUGAUUUCUACUGGGAAAUCUUUAUGCAGGGUGGAGAGAGUCACAUUUCCUAAUGAGAGAUGGAAAGCAUCUGAUUACCAGAAAAAGUGUUCAAAUUCUGCUGGUAUGAUCACGGUGCUGCGGGUGGAGGUCAGUUUAAGGAGGAUUCAGGCAAAGCAAUUUUGAAAGUCUUUUUCAUUGUUUCUGUUUCUUUGUUUGUUUUUUGUUUUGUUUUUUUGUUUUUUUACAAAACCAUGGCAGAAGCCACCACCUGGACCCAUCACAUGUUGGAAUGAAUGAGGGACAGAAAUGGAGCUCAGUAAUUGAGAAUGAAAUUCAGGAGUGAGGAAGAGGUUUGAGAGGUCAACGGGUGUGAGAGGUGAAUGGGUGAAGGAUGAGAAUGUUCAAAACAUCUUCUUUCUCCAUAAUAAGAGAGCAUUUAGGCCUCUGAGUCAGACAAUGUCCAGGCCAGGGGGAGCAGGAUGUUGUUGGCUCUCCUGGGCAAAAGUGAAACUCCAUCAGUGUCCAGGUACCUCAUCCAGGUUGGGAUUUGUUCCCAUUUUAAAAAUGAUCCAACAGUAUACAAUUUUGAAAAUAUACAAAAAUCUCUAUGCUAUCAUUCGUAGAUAGACAAGAUGGCCCUAAGAUGGUGAGAGAAUCACAAUGGGGUUUGGGUUUACAUUGUGUAUUUUUUUCUCCCAAUAUCUACAAAAUUCCCUACAUCAAUUCUUUAAUGUAACCCAGUGGGUGUCAUUCCCUUUCACAAUUACAGACAUUUCCAGUUCACGGUUAAAACCCUCGGAAAACCCACACCCUUUCUGCUGUGAGGUACAGGCAGCCAUGGGCAUCACCUCUAAACAUGCCUUCUGGGUCAUCAAAUUACUGAUUUAAAAGUCAUCUCAGUAGAUAUUGAAGACCUCCAUUUUACCCCUCUCACACUUGCAAUUCUUCUACCAAGAGAUGAUGGAUUUUAGUGGUGAUUUGCUUUUAUAAAUUAGUUUAGAUUAAUGCUUCUGCCAGGGGAAAAUUUUUCAUUGAGAAAAGCAUUUGGCAAAGUCUGGAGACAUUGCUGGUUGUCAGAGCUGGGGGAGGGAGUCCUGCUGGCCUUGAGUGGGUAGAGUCCCCGGAUAGUGUUGAACAUUCUAG